CCUGAAAUUAGUUUAGUUGGUUAUAGCAUGGUGCUAAUAAUGCCUAGGUCGUGGGUUCAAGCUCCAUACAGGC